GCUGUGGUUUAGUGACAGAGCAUCUGCUUGGCAUGCACAAAAGGUCCCAGGUUCAAUCCCUGGCAUCUCCA
rnacentral:tRNA from 1 species